CUGAGUACUGGGUCUUUUUAGGCCCCUACUCCCACCCUCUGUGUACCAAACUUUAUUUCUGUUGCCUUGGCGGGUUGAACCGCCUAAGGACUGCAAUGGUCUUUAGGCACCCUCCCGCCAGGGGAACACUCUUAAACUCUUAUGAAUUGGGAAGUCUGAGAAAAUAAUUUUAAUAAAUUA
rnacentral:misc_RNA from 1 species